GGGGUUGUGGCUCAGAGGUAGAGCACUCACCUAGCAUGCGUGAGGCACUGAGUUCGAUCCUCAGCACCUCA
rnacentral:tRNA from 1 species